rnacentral:rRNA from 1 species
UACGUAGGGGGCGAGCGUUGUCCGGAUUUAUUGGGCGUAAAGAGCGUGUAGGCGGCCAGGUAGGUCCGUUGUGAAAACUCGAGGCUCAACCUCGAGACGCCGAUGGAAACCGUCUGGCUAGAGUCCGGAAGAGGAGAGUGGAAUUCCUGGUGUAGCGGUGAAAUGCGCAGAUAUCAGGAAGAACACCCGUGGCUAAGGCGGCUCUCUAGUACGGUACUGACGCUGAGACGCGAAAGCGUGGGGGAGCGAACAGG